rnacentral:rRNA from 1 species
AGCUUUUUGGUUUUUAGUAAUAAGUAUCUUCUGCCCGGUGCGUGGGUAAACGGCCGCGGUAUUCUGACCGUGCAAAGGUAGCAUAAUCAUUUGCUCUUUAAUUGGGGGCUGGAAUGAACGAAGUUGUUUGAGGAUUUAGCUGUCUCUCUUUUUUUGUUGUAAUUUGCUUUUUUUGUGAAGAAGCAGGGAUGUUGGAAAGGGACAAGAAGACCCUAUUAAGCUUUAUUUUAUGUUAGUUGGUUUGUUGUGUUUUUAUAUUUUGAUUUGUUGUGUGAAAUUUGGUUGGGGUGACCAGAGAAGAUAGUGAUCUUCUUUAUUUUAUUUGAACCUUUUGUUGGAGGCUUGACCCAAGAUUUUUUGGUCUGAAGAAUGAGUUACUAUAGGGAUAACAGCGUAAUUUUUCCGUAAAGUUCUUAUUGAUGGAGGGGAUUGCGACCUCGAUGUUGACUUAUUGUUUCCUUUUGGUGUAGAAGCUAAUUUUGUGGGUUGGUCUGUUCGACCAUUAAAACAGU